CCUGUGCCUGCCCUGGAGCUAGAUCAGGUUCUGGCGACUGCUCCAACCUGGAACGCCGGCUCAGUAGCGCCCAAGCCGAAGGCGAAGGGGAAGAGGAACGAAGUGUGGGAUGGGGGGCGGCCCCUCAUUGGGGGUUCAGGACGGUGUGGACCUGCGCCCCUCUUCCCCGUAGCGACCGUGUUGGAGAAACUCGCUCGGAGGACCAGUGUGCUGCGGGGGCCAAAACUCACGCUGCCCAGCCUUGAAGAGCUGGAGAACGGAGCCGGGCCCCGCCGAACCUGCGCUCGCAGAGAAUGUUAUCUUCACAGCAACUUAGCAAGCCCCACAGAACAAAAGUUAAAGCGUGAUUGCACUAUACCUUGCCCCGGGUUACUCAGGCGCCUGUCUCCCAUUUUGGACAUGCAGGAAAUGUUGGAUUUGGGGAGGUUUGAUUUGGCUGGGUUUGGUUUGUCUAUAUAAGCCCUGCUGGAGUACUGUACUGAGGAACGCGCCUUGAUGGACUCGGGUGUUAAUUAACGCGCUAAUUUGAGCUUCAGGAGCGGGAGGCGGCCGGUAGCACCGCGAGCCGCGAGGGGCCAGUGACCUCUAGUGGACAUGAGGAGAUAUGCAGCGCGAGUGAGCGUGUAGCAGAGAAAACUCUUUCCUGAGCAGCUGCUCGCGUGUCUCCUCUGAAUCCAAUGCAAGGGAGGGACACAAGUCCCCAAUUUAAGGGAGAAAGAGCCGUCAGCAAGUGGUGUCGACCAAAGACCUUAGCUCUUCUGAUGUAUCUGAAAUCUAAACGCAAUUUAAGCGCGCGUGCACACACACAUUGUUACUUAUCAGUUUUUCCAGCGAGAGAAGAACAUAUGGAAAGGGUUUGAGAAGUGAGCGUGAAUAACUUUGGUUUCUGAACCUAGAGAAAAGCAGGGCUUUCAAAGCUCCGGAGGCACCAGCGAUUCAGGGGAAGGAGUCGGAGUGUGAUUCUGUAAACAAAGUUCAUCAGUACUCCCAAGAUUUUUUUUUUUUUCUGUAAAGAAUUGAGAAAAAAAAAACGUAAAAAGCUUAGUUGGGUCAACAACAAGAAAGUAAUCGAACAAAUGAUGUGUGGAAAGGUCCAGAUGCUCCUGAGUUCACACCCCUCAGGCAAAUAAGAAGACAAAAAUAAGAACAAAAGAACCCCUUCGCUUAACAAAAAUAAAAUAAAGGCCAAGAGGAGAAAAUGAUCUGUUUUGGUUUUUUAACCUUCAUUUAUUUCAUUGGUUAGUUAAACUACUGCAGAAAUUUUUGGAAAGAUCGUCCUGGUGCUUCUGCAAGCGCCAAAAGCAAACCAUGGACCUGAUAGUUCAGGCAGAAUACCAUUUUUUAAAAUAAACCAAAGUCUGUAUUUUAUCCUUCCCCAUUCCACAGACCGCAGCAGACUGUGGAAGCUGGCGAGGCCCAGUAGAAUCCCGCGACCCCACAGCCUCAGCGCUCAGGGUUCCACGGUCCAGUACAGGCUAAACUGACCUCGCCGACGGCCGCGCCCACUUGGGCACUUCUCCCGGGUCUUGUUCUACGGGCGUUUGAGGAUUUCUUAGUCUCUUUCUUCCCUGGCACUCUUCCUCCGAGGCCAGAAGUCUGAAUUACUAGCAGCUACCAGCCGCUUGGAGCGGGAACGUGGAGGUGAUCCCCUCCCCGGGAGUAGCCUGUCCGUCCCAGCUCUCCUCCCUUCUGUGCCUGGCGGUUUUGCGGUACCCGAAUCUGUCCUCAAGGGUUGGGGGAGGGGUGGAUAUGGGGGGAUCAGAGACAUUACCUUUUCCCAAACUGUGAGCACAGCCCGCUUGGGGUUGGUUUCACAUCGCUCAGGACUGGGGUUCCACGCCUGGAGCGCAGUUACCUUGUUGCGCCCGCAUGUGCCUCGGGAAGUGCAUCUGCGACCCUAGGUCGGGGACCACCGCGUUAGUGAGGGACAGCCGAGUCGGGGGGCAGUCUCCCCUGGUGGACAGUAUGAAGUUUGGACAGCAGGGGAAGGAAGAGAGGAACUGGAGGUUGGGGGAGGCUAGAGAGCAACGUUUGCUCUCUGAACUUUUCCUUCUCCCCUUUGCGCCUUCUGAAAUGGCCUGGGAGUUAGCAGAGGUCGGGAAGCUGCUGUAAGAGCGAAACGUUGCCCCACUUGGCGGUGUCCAGGUCUC
rnacentral:lncRNA from 1 species